UGGGGGAUAUUGCACAAUGGGCGAAAGCCUGAUGCAGCAACGCCGCGUGAGGGAAGACGGUCUUCGGAUUGUAAACCUUUAACUUUGGAGAAGAAAGAAAUGACGGUAUCCAAAGGGGCAGCCACGGCUAACUACGUGCCAGCAGCCGCGGUAAUACGUAGGUGGCAAGCGUUGUCCGGAAUUACUGGGUGUAAAGGGAGCGCAGGCGGGGAAGCAAGUCGGCUGUGAAAUGCAUAGGCUUAACCUAUGAAUUGCAGUUGAAACUGUUUUUCUUGAGUGGAGUAGAGGUAGGCGGAAUUCCGAGUGUAGCGGUGAAAUGCGUAGAUAUUCGGAGGAACACCAGUGGCGAAGGCGGCCUACUGGGCUCUAACUGACGCUGAGGCUCGAAAGUGUGGGGAGCAAACAGG
rnacentral:rRNA from 1 species